GAAUGGCACCACGAAGGUUCUACUGUCUCCCUUUUUUAAUCAGUGAAACUAAUCUUCCCGUGAAGAAGCGGGAAUAAACUUAUAAGACGAGAAGACCCUAUGGAGCUUUAAACUAUUUAUCAAUUGCCCAUCCAUUACCACUAUUUCAGAACCAUAUCUUUUAUUAUAGCUUUUUGAUAAUAAGUUUUGGUUGGGGUGACCGCGGAGUAAAAAAUAACCUCCAUAUUGAAAGGAAACCUUUCCUGAGCAAAAAACUACAAUUUUAUGCACCAAUAUACUGACAUUAAUUGACCCAAUAAUUUGACCAACGAACCAAGUUACCCUAGGGAUAACAGCGCAAUCUACUUCAAGAGCUCCUAUCGACAAGUAG
rnacentral:rRNA from 1 species